rnacentral:rRNA from 1 species
GACGAGCGUUGGCGGCGUGCUUAAUACAUGCAAGUCCACUGAAGCAGUGGUAGCAAUAUCGCUGUGGAGGUGGCGCACGGGUGAGUAACACGUAGGUAAUCUGCCUUCAGGUCUGGCAUAACUCCGGGAAACCGGGGCUGAUAGCAGAUGAUGCAGCGGCUCGACAUCGAGACAGUUGUUAAAGCUAUGGCGCCUGAAGAUGAGCCUGCGUCUGAUUAGCUAGUUGGCGGGGUAACGGCCCACCAAGGCAACGAUCAGUAGCUGGUCUGAGAGGAUGAUCAGCCACACUGGAACUGAGACACGGUCCAGACUCCUACGGGAGGCAGCAGUAAGGAAUAUUGCUCAAUGGGAGAAAUCCUGAAGCAGCAACGCCGCGUGAGGGACGAAGGGCUUUUGCUUGUAAACCUCUGUAGUGAGAGAAAAAAAUCCCAAUCUUUGGGACAUGAUGGUAUCUCAAAAGUAAGCCCCGGCUAACUACGUG